rnacentral:rRNA from 1 species
UGCAAGUCGAACGGUAGCACAGAGAGCUUGCUCUCGGGUGACGAGUGGCGGACGGGUGAGUAAUGUCUGGGAACUGCCUGAUGGAGGGGGAUAACUACUGGAAACGGUAGCUAAUACCGCAUAACGUCGCAAGACCAAAGAGGGGGACCUUCGGGCCUCUUGCCAUCAGAUGUGCCCAGAUGGGAUUAGCUAGUAGGUGGGGUAACGGCUCACCUAGGCGACGAUCCCUAGCUGGUCUGAGAGGAUGACCAGCCACACUGGAACUGAGACACGGUCCAGACUCCUACGGGAGGCAGCAGUGGGGAAUAUUGCACAAUGGGCGCAAGCCUGAUGCAGCCAUGCCGCGUGUAUGAAGAAGGCCUUCGGGUUGUAAAGUACUUUCAGCGGGGAGGAAGGUGUUGUGGUUAAUAACCGCAGCAAUUGACGUUACC